ensembl:lncRNA
UUCCUUGAACUGACCCAAACCAGGGCAUGAUGAGGCUUCAGCCCAUGCAUACAGUAGGACUGCAUUCCUUUUCUCAUGUUUCUUUUUCACCUAAAAACAAAUGCUGGAAGCCCAGGAGUUGAUCAGUUCCCAUCUGAACAGGGCCCUCUGAAAGAUGCCCAAUGCACAUAGUCCUCCCAGUCAAGACACAGUUCCCAAGACAGAAGUGCCUUUACAAGAGAGAUGAAGGAAUGGUACUAGAUAUCAACAUUGUCGGGGUCAGAAGGGGCUCAUAGGUACAGGUACUAAAUUCCCUGGGGAUCUACUUCAGGUGGGACAGAGGCCAUGGAUUUUUUUCAGCAAUUUUUGGUGAGAAAGAGGCUGAGCCCGUGCUAUUGAAGUAAAUGCUGCUCAGCUGAUACCAAACCAGUUGUGGGCAGCUUAGUACUAAUCCCAUCAAAGACCAGCAGUGUUUAGGUGGUGCAAGGCUGGGACUACAUUGGGGCUGGUGCAGUACUGUAAGGAGAAGUCACACCUCCUCCUCAGGCAGGUGUUCUGCAUCCUGCCAGAAGGGGAAGGGAGAGCAAGGAGAGGGCUGAAAUAUAUCUCAUACCAACUGGAAGGGAGCGUGGUUGUUCUGAACUGCAGGGGCACAAGGCAGUCAAAAAGAACAGCAGCAUGUCUUGAAAUAAUAACAUGCAUUAUUAUUUUUAUAUAUCAUAUAUCAUGUAAUAUGCAAUAAAUUGUUUCUAGCAGACAGCAUGAACAAAGAGUGCCUUUUCCACCAUCUGCAAAUUCUCCCUAGAAACUGUUAGGAGUGGGCUUUCCCCUGCAAUUCCUGGUACCAUCCAUUUCAGGUUAGACUGGAAGUAUUGUGAAAGAGGCUGUCGUUGACUCGUUAACAAACCCAGCUCUUUCAGGCUUCUGACUCUCUCACAUUCAAAUCUACAAAACGUCUCUGUGCACUGAUGCAGAGGUGACCGGGGAUGUUAUCUUAUAAAAGACAUUAGAGUAGCUUCGAAAUUCAGAAAUGAAACUUUGCAUUAUCCCCAAGGCUGCUUAUAGGCCAGCCAAGGUGAGAACAAAGAGGAAAAAGUGAAGAUGGAAGUAGGCACUAGAUUACAACUGAGAUGUGUUUCUGUUUUUUCUCUGUGCAUUUGGUUGGUAUUCUGUUUUUUUUUUCCCCACUCUCUCCCUUAUUUUCAGUACGUACAAUAGUUAACUCUGUAAGCUAGCCAAAACUUUCUGAAGGCAAUGGGAAGGAAUUACACUGGUUGCAAAUAUGCACUGGGUAUAUAUGGCCUUUUGUAAAUAGAAAAGCAUGAGAUGUUCCAAAUCCAACUUAAUAUACUUCAGUAGCUUCACUUUAUAUUUUGUUACUGUAGUAUACUGGAAUCUCAGAUUGUGUUUGGAGUAAAUAGUUGCUGACUAAAAAUCUCAGCAAGUACACACACAGAUUUGUUUCAAGAUUCUGAAAAGAAACAAACUGCUGUCCCCUUCUAAAAUCUCUGAAGUUUUGGAGUUCUUGCAGAUUUUCAUCCCAGAACCAAAAAGCAAGAAGCUGGAAGUGCAGGAAAAGAGCAUGGAAGGAGAUUGACAUCUGUUUUCCCUUCACCGCCCUAAAGCAGCUCAGCAUCUGUUCCUGAGCAGCUGAGGAACCUCUGCUGUGGAGGCAAGAACCUUGGAGAGAAGGGCAGGGCACAUUUCCUGACUAAAGUCAAAGGCACAAGGUGCUGGCCAACACUGAGAUGCCAAACUGGAGGCUGGUGCACCCACCAGAUCUCUAGGAUGUCUCUCGGAGAUUGUGCAGAUCCGAGCAGCAGCACAAAGCAUCGUGAAGUCAAAUGUAACAUUAAAAAUGCAUUCAGCAUGGUAAGUCAGCGUAUCCUUCUACCUAGAUUCCUUUGAAAAUCAGAGCUCAUCUGGGACAAGUAUGACUCCAUGUAUGUGAGUAUAUAGCGAACACUGUUGAACUUGUUGGAGACCUUUAACGUUAUCAAAAUACAACUAAUAGUAAUUAAUAUUUACUUGUCAUAUAGCCUCUCCAAUGAAGAACUAAAAUCAAAAUUAUAACCCUUCUGGGAAUAUGCCAAAGCUGAAGGAAAAGCUAGAAGCACACUAUUCUGUAAUCAGGUCAACUUACCUCAUAGCACUUGCUGUAAAAAUAUGAAUUACAUUAUGUUCCUUUGGCAUUUCUGUGGUUGCCAAUUAUAUUCAAACAUUGUAAAGAGCCUUGCAAACAAUUUGGAUGGAUUCAUGGCUUGCAGUAAGAAUGGCUGUACCCACAGAGCAAGCCUGUGCCAUAGCAAACUUCUCUGCGUUGGUCCUGGCUGCAUCCCAGCAGUACCACAAGGCAAGGCCUGGGGGUCACCAACUCCUGCCUGAGGGAAGCCCACAAAGCAAAUAGAAAGGGAAAUACUGCAGAGCACAGCCCAUCAGCAGUGGGUGACAUGCAGCUGCAAGCACUUAGUCCCUCAGGAGCAGGAUUAACCAAAUCAGUGGUUCUUGGGACAAUGAUGAUGGACUUUGGGUUUAGUAGGGAAAGUGCUGGUGACAGGUAUAAUGGAAUCAUAGUUUAAAUAUAGGAGAACUACAUGCUUUUCUCUUUUUCCUUUUUUUUUUUUUUUUUUUUAAUACAUCGGUAUGUAAAUGGAAAGUCUGGAGUGCUGUUAUAGUUUAAUUUUUAAAUGGCUGAAGAUCCCAAAACUUUUUAUUUCUUCAGCUGCUUCAUAUACACAUUUGCACACACAACUUUGGAUGCUUGGUAUCUUUGAAAUUCAGGUCAUAUCCACUUGAUAGGCAUGUUUGGGCCUAAUUUUUACUUAUCUUUUAAAAAAUAAAUUUUGGUAAUAGUCUUCAGAAGUAGGAAAAUAGUGAGAAAUUUCUACUGUCAUGCAUGUUCUCACUUUACAGCCAAUCUGAAGUCUACAUGUUCAAAUAAAUCAGUGCUCAAGGACAUUGCUGUCUUCUUCAGGCUUAGGGAGUUAUGCCCAGGCCCAGGAGGUGUGUUUAGGUGCCUAAUGACCAGUGUAUUCCAUAGAUGUUUAAAUAUUAUCACUUAACCAGGACCUGCAUCCAUCUCUGGGCAGAAACAGACAGGAAAUUUUUAUAUCUAUCUAUCUAUCUAUUUUUAUAUCUAUUGAGGUAGACAAAAACUUCUACUUGGGACCCUUCUCAGCACUGCUGCAAGGUACAGGGUGGGGUGGAUAGGACGAAAGGGCACCCAACAUCAGCUGGGAUUGCCUCCCACAGCCAAACAGGGCCACAGCUCUCAGGCUGCUCAGGACAUGCACAGAACAAAACCUGCAGCAGCAUGUGCCCAGGAGAGCUCUGCUGUUUCCAAACACGCUGCAACAGCUGCAGAUGCCGCCCAGACACAGCACAGUGCCCAUCUUGCUCCCUUACCACAUGGUACGGACCCUGCUGCUUCUUGAAACUGCCCACGUGCUUGUACAAACCUGUACUUUGCAAAUGCUCACACACGGUGCAUGCAUGAAUUAUUCCCAGGUAUCUGUAAAAUUUAGUUUUGAAAACUGUAAAAUAAUGGCCUGACAACAAGCUGGUCAUAUUUUCCAUGGUUCAUUUACCUCAAACAAACUGAAGGAUCAGCAAAUGUUUUGUAUUAACUUAUUGUUGAGCCAUCCUUGAUUAAGAAAUCGGUUCUUCCUGAAACUUUAUCUGGGAGUGGUCAGGUCUCCACACAGCAUUUCUGCUGCUUUCCUGAGCAAUGGAAGGACCAACACCAGCAAAGAUGGACAACACUUGAGUACUGCCAUCUGUGAUACAAUCAACAGAGCCCCACAGCACUGUUGUUUGGAUCAUUUGGUGCCCAGUUCUGCUCCCACCGAGUUCACAAGAGUUUGUGAUGGGGCAUGUUCAGGCUUCCAGUGUAUUAGUAAUAAUGCUAAUGAUAUUGUAUGUUUUGCCUGCAUUACAGUCUGGUGCUUAGAAAAUAAACAUCUCGGCUUUGCCUCAGUGUUUAUCUCCAAUAAAUACCUCAGCUUUGCCUCAACAAUUAUCUCUUCACAGCAGACCAUUAUCCAGCAGCAACAUAUAAUUCCAUUAACAUUACCGUUUAAAAUAUAUCCUCUCC